UGAGUCGUGGCCUUGGGAGGUAAUGUUUUAAGUAGACCGCUUGGUGUAGUCGGUCGCAAGAUAAAAUCAAAGAAUGACGGGGGCCCGCACAAGCGGUGGAGCAUGUGGUAAUUGAGCAACGGAAGAACCUUACCUACUCUUGACAUCCAGAGAACUUUCCAGAGAUGGAUUGGUGCCUUCGGGAACUCUGAGACAGGUGCUGCAUGGCUGUCGUCAGCUCGUGUUGUGAAAUGUUGGGUUAAGUCCCGCAACGAGCGCAACCCUUAUCCUUGUUUGCCAGCGAGUAAUGUCGGGAACUCCAGGGAGACUGCCGGUGAUAAACCGGAGGAAGGUGGGGACGACGUCAAGUCAUCAUGGCCCUUACGAGUAGGGCUACACACGUGCUACAAUGGCGCAUACAGAGGGCGGCCAACUUGCGAAAGUGAGCGAAUCCCAAAAAGUGCGUCGUAGUCCGGAUUGGAGUCUGCAACUCGACUCCAUGAAGUCGGAAUCGCUAGUAAUCGUGGAUCAGAAUGCCACGGUGAAUACGUUCCCGGGCCUUGUACACACCGCCCGUCACACCACCGGAGUAGAGUGCGAACGAAGUCAGGAGAAGUCGUAACAAGGUAACCAUGCUAGAGUGAAUC
rnacentral:rRNA from 1 species